rnacentral:lncRNA from 1 species
UAUUGAUUUGUGCCUAAUAUUAGGGUUAAUGGGGAUUGAUUCACUCUAGGAGCCAGCCCCAAAUGGCCACUUGAGGAACUGCAUUUUUUGACUUCAACUCCAAAAUCCUAAUAUAAUCUUAUCUUUAUCAUUUUACACUCCUGCACCUCAAAUUUAUAUUAUAAAUCUGGUAACUAUUACACAACUUAUAAGGCAACUUUGUCUGGAUAAUACUGAUGUUAGCAUUUAAUCACAGUCCUUACUACUUCACAACUAUUUUGACGAUGAUUCUCAUUCAAUCAUAAAAUAUUUAUAACAUCUUAAGACACUCUGAAUUUUGCUCAUUGAGUGUUACAAUCUUUGAUUUAAAGCUCCUUUGAGAAACUUUUAUAUGUUUACAAAACCCACUGGAAUUCAUGUGACUGCCUUUUAAUGAUAAACAAAAGCAGCCUAGCCCAAAAUCAGCAAGAGUGAAGAUCUUUAUAACUCUAUUUCUGCUGUCUGGAACCGGUGUGAGGAGGUAGUCCAGGCCCUGAAGCCCAGGGACCAGCCUUGUUUUUAUAAUAUCUACAUAAAAUAUUCACAAUAAAUGAUACGUUUGACUGUCAAAAGUCAGCAUGUUGAGAUUUGUUGUCAUGAAUCAACACUACUGCAUGUAGCAGACAAGAUAAGUAAAGACUCUUUGUCCACAGGAGGCGCCAAAAUUGACACAGACCAAAAGUUCCUCACAGGAGCUUUAACUGAGGAAAAUAAUCGUUUAUAUCUGCUCUCUUGGAAGCGUCCUUCACUGAGAUGAUAAAGGAGGACUAGUUUCUCCGGUGAGAGAGAUCAGAGGACUGAAUCUAGGAGCAGAUUGUGUCCAGAUGGUGGAUAACACCGACAAGAAUACUGCUAAAUACCACAAAUGAGAAAAAAACACGGACACAGACGCUGUAGGAAGAGUUUGUUUAGCACUCCUGAGCCGAGCUAUCGAUCGGCUGUACAGUGAGUCUUUAGUGAUGGGAAGUGUGACACUAACGUCCCUCCCUGACUCCCACAGCGAUCACUCUGGAGCCAAAUGUUAUGUCUACUCUUGAAUGGAAAAUUGCCGAGGUGGAAUAUUCACCCACACGCUCUGGGGUUGAAUGCUCUGCCUGGGCGCCCAAGAGUCACAACUAAGGUCCCAUUAGCAUUUGAUGGUCUCAUUAAACAGCCCAUUAGGGAGCCUCGCUGUGAGGACGGAGGCUCAGUGGGCUGGUUUGUGGUUUGAUAGCCACAUGGUGCCGCUCUGCCAAGUUCCCCUGAAGGAGUAUGCGGUAUGUCUCUGCCGUUUUUGUUCAUAUUGUUUUGUCUGAGGUGGUUCUAGUGGGCUGUGUUGUUUCAGUACCGGAGAGGUUGGACCAUCUUACCCACCUCAUCUGCUGAUUUUCUGGUUUCUUCAAGACUUUGGACUUUUUUCAUACAAAAACAUAUUUUAGGCAAGAAGUAAGAGAUCAUGGCCGUCUGAAAACAACAACAAUAAAUAGAUGGAUAACAGAUGAAGGGAAUUAAAUCAAUGACUCAGGCCUCUCUGUACAGUCAGCCAUUAGAUGAGUGUGCAGAGAUCAUCGACAAAUUGUAAUCUUGGAUAGGUGCAGAGCUAAAAUUAUUCCACAGAAAAUACGUUUUAACUCUAUUUUAGAGGGGAUAUCUGACUCCACUACCGUCAACAUCAUGGACUCGGUUCAAGUCCAUUUUUAGAGAAGUACUUUUAGUUGAUGUCCAAGUAAAUUGUCUGCCUGCAACGCAAAAAGACAAUCUGAUACCAUGAUACACGACAAUACGAACGCCUCAUGCUGAACCAUCAUAUUGCUACAUGUUGAGUUGAAUUGCACUGGCUGUAUUGUAUAAGACUGUAUGUAAGAGGGGAACAUAAGAGCUUUGCCAUCAAGAUACGAGAAAAACCUGCUGGAUGUCUUAAGUUUUUCUCACUGACUGAGAUUAAAGGGAUAUUCCGGUGUAAAAUUAAGUUAGGGUCGAACACAUCGUAACACCGAGUUAGACACCCCCUUGAGUAACGACCGCACGAUAGCAAUACACAACGGUCUAUGUGGGUGAGUUGUUUUUGGUCUCUUUGCUAAAGAAAUGAGUCAAAGUUAAAAAGAUGUUUGGUGUCUAGUACUGUGGCUGUGACCCUAUAUGUCCUGUUGAUGAAGUUAGGUGCUGUUCUGAGCAUUAUUUGUGGUUAUAGAGUGGCGUUUUGGUUGAGGUUUGCACAUGGAGACAUAGGUUCUGAUCUACUAAGAUACAAAAUAGCGAGCACUAAAUUGCUUGUGCAAACUGAAAAAUUGCACGUGCUAUUAGUGGGCAUGUUUCGGGUGCAAAAGUGGUGCGGACCGCCCUCUUUAAAGGAGGAUUUUGCGUGUGCUAUCUAACUCGGUGUUACAGUGUGUUUGACCAUAACUUUAAUUUACACCAGAAUAUCCCUUUAAGGCAGCCUUUCUCAUGUGUUUAUUACUCAUCUCUCGAAUCAAGCUUAGGAUCAUUUAUUCAGACCUGUCUGAAUCCAUAAGUUCAUCACUCAGCAUCAACUUUUUAUGUUUUUAGGAGCACCAAGUCAUGCCAACAGUGUGCUUUUAACAUUACAGAGUAGGGGGUCACUGUGAUGGUUGGUUAAUGCUGGUGUUGAAAACCAUAAACUGAAGAAGAAGUUACGUACUAACUAAAGAGCAGGAUCAUUGUUCAUCAGAAAGUAUGCUAGAUAAAGGCGCUCUCACUUUUAGGAGUCUGUUCAGUGGAGAUGCUUCUCAGGCAAAGUCUGCUGUGUAGUCGAGGACGGAGGAGGUGUGAUUGGAGGGAAAAUGCCUUUAACAUCAAAAGCUUUCUCGAGUGUCUGCAGCCACGUCAAAUGCCUUCCAUUCAGUGAGGAGACCUCUUUCGAUAACAGUGUGUCACCUCUUUCUUCUGGGUCACUGAUUUCCGCUGGAUUCAGGAGCUCCUGAUUCAACCGCGGGGGGCAAAGUUCACCGAGGAGUCAAAGUGCACACCACAGGCUGACUUUAGAAAAGGAAAGACUCUCUCUUUCUGUCAGAGUAAAACAGAGAAACCGGUUUAAAAUUUCAGGGCUGUACCUCCAGAGCCAUUUCGUUUCAGCUUGAAGUAAUUAUAUCCGAGGAAUAACGUCAAGAUUUUCACACGCUGUCAACAAGUUAUUCUUUAUUUCAUGCUUAAUUGGCUGCAGGAGCUCGCAGGCGUGUCUCUCCUCAGUAGCAGAGUGUCCUUCGUCUGUUAAUAAUGCAGAGGGAUGGUGAAACUUUAAUUUUCAACUCCAAUGCAUUUGCAGUAACUAUCUGGUGUGUGUUUCUCCUCCUCCUCUCAUAGCUCUCAUAGUCGGGUCACUGUCUCUCUCUGUGCAAACAAAGCUGCACUAUUUAUACUCUUCAAACUCGAUAGCUCUCCUGGACAGUCGUGAACAAUCUGAUAGUGGAUCCUUGAAUGAGACCCCGCGCCUGCAGCAGAGAGCCUGUGACAUUUAAGAUAACACUCACAGGCUCGGCUAAUUAAUACGAGCAAAAGAGUGUUUUCAAACUCAGACCACUUCCAAUUUAUUUUCCCAUUAUUUAAAAAAACAAGCCGGACUCUCUUUUCUGCGCGCUAACUCGGCUUUUCUUUCCAGCACGACCCCGCUAACAUAUGCAGACCUAUGCAGGAGCUUUGAAGCUAAUAUGCUGCUUGUUUGAUCUAUAACUUACUUAUUUUUUACCCAUACACUCCUCUGAUGUCCAACUCUGCUCACUCCGACUUUAUUUAAAGCACACUUUCAUACAUAAAAGCACGUAAAGCUCAAAGUGUUUCACAAAGGAUCAAACAGACCGAGUUGUCCAAAAGAUGAAAUUAUUAAAAAGCAGAAAUUAAAGGAGAAUUUAAUCAAAUAAUAUAUAUUCUGUUUGUACCGUGUAGUACAUUUCAUGUCAUGCUAAUGUGUCUCUAAGUCUAUGUAAAGCUACAGUGGGGGAUUUUGACUUGUGGUGUUUUUGUUCUGUUACGAUAUUGCAUUUUAUUUUUACAGUAGUCCUACUUCAGACGAGGCAAAUAAGCAACCAUUGUUAAGGAUUUUGGGGUGGCCAAUCAGAUUAGGGGGCCCCUAACACCCCCGAUCAACCCUUCAGACACGCCCCUGUGAGUAAAUAGUGUUUUCACCAAAAAUCUGAUUAAAUAUUUCAGAGCAUGUUUCACCCUUGCCUGUUGACAUUGUAGCGAAAACAUUACUUUCUAUCCAGGGCUGGUUUUUAAAGGUUGGAUAUAAUGGUGGAAUUUCUGGAAAAGUAGAUGUGAGGGCAGCCAGAGGAGUGACUGGAUCCAAACCAGGAGUGGAGCAACAUGCUGUCCUGCAAUCCAGGCAACAGCUUCAGAGCUGGAGACUUGUUGACUUGUCUAACUUAAAGGUGAGGUAGUCAGGAUCUGAGUUAGUGCCAGUUUUUAGGAGAAAUCUUGAAUGUAAACUCUACCCCUCCCAACCAGUUUCCCCCUCAGCUCCUCCCCUCCCUCUCUUAAGCCCCGCCCACAAACAGACGCUCCUGCUCGCUCGUAUCGCUCCAAUUAAAUUCAGAUAUAAUGCAGAUAAAUACUUCAGAUCAUUACAAAUGGGGCCCAGUCAAGGUGAAAGUCAAAAGCAUUGGUGCUACUGUAGAUGCCAACAGACUACCAGCAAACACAAUGUUUGCAGGACUUCUACAACGAGGAUAAAGUGACAUAGUCCAGGACCCGAGGGAGGACAGUUUAGCGAUGGCGCUACAACACGCUACAGCAGGUCCGUUUGACAAGAAACACUUCUGUUACAGACACUUGUCUUACUUUGUUAAAGCGGUUUACCUGUCCAGCAGAAAGGUUACAGGGUCACCAAGAUCCCCAAGCGUCCCCCAUCGUUUAUGUUGACCCGGCUUUUUAGCUCUUGUCCGGUCUACCUCCGUUUUAAGCGCCCGUUAUUCCUCCAGAGUCUCCCGUAUUUACUUUGUUUUCUUGCUUGUGUCGGCAGUCGUGGCCAAAGGAGGAUUCAGACAAUUUUCCAAACUUUCUAGUUGGUUUCUACUGUCCGAUAUUGUAGCACGCUAACUUUGUUUGGACUCGUGAACGUUAUUGGAGGACGUGGAGCGUGCCUCACAACACGAGGGAGCAGCGUCUGCCUCAUAACCAAUCAGGUUGGGGGGGCGGAGAAUGGCUUUGUUUACAUUUAGAGAGAGCGGCCGCUCAAACAUUUUAAAAUGUUGACGACACAGACACAAGAGAACACAGUGAUAUCGUGAUAUUCCCAAAUGUCAUCAAUAACUAAUAACUAAUAUAAAAUUUUUCGUAUAUACAGCACAAAAAAGACGUUUCUUUAACGGAUUCCUGCCGACCCAAUCUUUAAUCUUUGAUGAAAAUGUCCUCUUGACCUCGCCCGUCAGGAAGGCUGAUGUAAAUCUGUUGUCAUGGAAGCAUCAUCAGCUGUUAAAUCAAUUCCCUUUUUAGCGGUAUCAAUUAAUAUUUUCUAAAUCUCUACAAUGAUGUCCAUAUCACGAGUUCGACUCGGCUUUUUUAGAUCUUUGUCUGGCAGUCAGGCGAUAUGUCAGGUAAAGUAAGGUGAGGGAUGCAAAUUAGAGUCACUCCACUCCCUGCCAGAGUUUUGUCUCGCUCUGUCUGGAUUUAAAUCUACAUAACCACCCGCCCACUGUUCAGAAAAAACUAAAUAUGAAGAAAAAUAUAAUAGAUUGUUUUUAAAGUGUAGCAGCUUUUUAACACUACCAUCAUAACUCCAGCUCUUAUGUUAGCGUGAUUAGAACAUCCCUCUCCUGUGUUUUGGUUCAGUGUUUAUUCCUGCCAAACGGGCCGUCAUGACUCAGGGAAAUAUUCACUUCUGACUUUCUGACAUGGAGACACACGUGGGAACGUUUCCUCCGGUGGGGAAGCGUAGGAUGACAGAUGUGACCUUUGGGCUCGCGCCAGAUAUCAGAGCUCGGGGAGAGACGAGGGCGAGCCGCGCGCCUGGUGUUACUAACACUGAGGCUGAUGGAUGAAUCACACUGAAAUCCUCACAGUCUCUGCCUCUGGCUUUGUUCAGGGUCAACACAGAGACAGUUUGUACGAGUCCAUCUGAGUUUUUUUGGAUGCGUCAUCAUCACUGAGGAUUAUAAUGUGGCUCAGGAGUUUUCUGCAUGCAAUAAAAAGUCAGUGUGAUCUCCUGGAAACCUUUAAUAAAUCUUCCACAGCGUUAGGCUGAGGACAAAUCACUGCUGUAGGACCCCCGGUGGAAGACACUAUUGAUUAUAGAUGUCCACUUGUACCCUCAGACAGUCACGCAUUUGGUUAAUGUUUUUUGACAGGUGAGGAAAUGCAAUUUAAAUAGAGCUUUAUAUAAAGUGCAACUCUUUAAUUAAUACUAACAAAACAGGCAAGGUGCGACCAUAUAAAGUAGGAUAUGUUUCAUACCUUAACGUCUCGCUAUGACAUCCUGGACUUAUGAUUUCAUCAACCAAUCACAUCCUUCUGACAUCAACACUCUUACUCUUGUGCUUUUUUCUGUUUUACGAUCACCCGGAAAGGUUUAAAGCUCAAAAGAAAUGAUCAAAAUCCUCAGUAAAAUCUUCAACUGUAUCUUUACAUGAGUCUAAAAGUGGUAAAAUGAAAAAAGCACAGCGUUACAGUCGGAUAUACCUCGUCAUGGUGAUGCUCCUUGGGUUGCCAUGAGAGGAUUUGUGUCAGUUUAACAACACAAAUAUAAAAAUAUACAUAUUUUUCAUGUUAGAAGUGUACAAAUCCUUAAAAUUCACGGUGAAAGCAGCUCGAGUUUUGGUGGGGUAGGAAAGGAAAAGAUGGGGAUAGGACGAGACAAGGGGUGAUGAGAUGGUAUGGGAUGAGAACGGAUGAGAUUGGAUCCAGUUUGAUGUAAUGGCGUGGUUUGAGAUAGGGUAGGAGAGGAUAUAAUUGGGAUAGGAUGGGAUAGUAUAGGAAAGGUAAGGUUGGUUGGGGUAGGAUUAAAAAGGAAAGAAUGGUAAAAAAACAUGAUCGCGUGGAAUCGGAUAUGCUAGUAAAGAUUGAGAUAGGAUAUAAUGAGGAAGGAUGAGAAAGGAUAGGAAAGGAUGUAUAGAAAAGAUUAGGAUAGGAUGUAUAAAUCUAGAAGUUGCAUAAAGGAAAAGCUUUUUAUCUUCAGGUUUUUGAAAAUUGUGUUUUAAAGAAGUUCAAUUACCAUAACUUCAUGAUAAUAAAAUAUACUUUAUAUCAAAGAUGCAUACAUGUGAGUACUCCCUUGGUAUGCCACUUGACAUUAAUUCACUAAAACACAGUCUAAAAUGAAUCUAGCUGUGAUUUAAAAACCUGUUGGUUCUGAUGAGCUUUGGCAGAUAGCAAAAAUACAACACCACAGAUUCAAAACAGUGAAUGAGCUGUUAGUGUGAUCACACCCAAGUUAAUCAUCAAGUUGGCUGUUAACAGCUGGCACAUGGAGCCAAUUAAAUAUUUUACUAUGUUUCAUUAAUGUGAGAGGAGUAGCAGCUUCUCUUAAACUGACAGGACAGUUCAACAGAUUCUGGUAAUGGUUGUGCAAUGAUGCACUGUGCUGAAAUCACCUCGGGUUCCUAUUAACAGCUCAAAUUUCUCUCGCCUAACGGUGUUUGAUAUUUUAAGUAAAUGAAAGAGAAAACAUCAACAACACCAGAAUGAGCGAAUAUAUUCUGGGUAAAUAAUAAAAAGCAACACGGACAAAGAAAGUUUGUUGUCCAAAUGUUGAUGAUAUAAAUAAUUGGGACAUUAGUCUUUGAUUUUGGAUGAUUGAAAUGAGGAUGAUUGUGUUUUUGCUGAUAGAAUUGAAGGAGAGGAGGAUGGCUGUAACAAUGGGAUCAUAGUAAGGAUGAUGAUUAUGAUGAUGAGCCUUUGUACCAGCUCAGAAGAUGAAGAUUACUUCAUAACUACUCCUGCUGGAGCUUCUGCUGAUGAGGAUACAAUGAUGGUGUGAUGAUUAGACUGUUGGAUAAAACGGUGAAGAAAAUGAUGAUGAAGAUGGAAGCUGAUUAUGUGGAGGAGGAGGAGGAAGAUGAUGAUGAUGUGGUAAUGAAGAUGGUGAGAAGAAGAUGAUGACUGUGCUGAUUAUGAUCCUUCUUUCCCUAAUUUUCAUGAAGCAGCACCCUCACUGCUUUUUUGAUUAAACUUUGGAGUCAUCACUGACAAUAACAUGAAAAGGAGUUGAGUACAGUGGCCCUGAUGGUAAAUGGCUCAAACAUUUUCUAACCAAAAAAUUUAAAAAUAAAGACAAAUAUUUCGUAAAAGAAAAAUUCCUGAAAACAAAAAGUAGAUUAAUUAUUUUGUUUUCGUUUCCAUCUCUAUAAUAUUUUCUGCUUUGAACUGAAAAUACGACAACAAACACUAAUCUUUUAUUUUUUGGUUAUAUAGGAAAAACAAAUAAACAAAAUAUUGACUUGUUUUUUCGUUUACUAGAUUGAAUGGAAUAAUUGAAUAGAUGGAUAAUACAUGGACCUUCAUGAAAGAACGUGGACCAUGCAAACAGGAGAUUCCCA